UAUCAUUUCAGUGAGCAUAUACC
rnacentral:siRNA from 1 species